rnacentral:lncRNA from 1 species
GAGACUGAAAAGAUUUGGCAUGGAUCCCCAGAUCCUCAGAAGGUUCUACAGCUGCACCAUCGAGAGCAUCCUGACCGGUUGCAUCACCGCCUGUUAUGGCAUCUGACCGUAAGGCGCUACAGAGGGUAGUGCGUACGGCCCAGUACAUCACCGGGGCCAAGCUUCCUGCCAUCCAGGACCUACAUAAUAGGCGGUGUCAGAGGAAAGCCCGUAAAAUCGUCAGACCCAAGUCAUAGACUAUUUUCUCUGCUACUGCACGGCAAGCGGUACCGGAGUGCCAAGUCUAGGACCAAAAGACUCCUUAACGGCUUCUACCCCCAAGCCAUAAGACUGCUGAACAAUUAAUCGAAUGGCCACUGGACUAUUUACAUAAAAUGUAUAAAAAAGCCUGGCUUAUCACUUCCUUACAUUGUUAAUGACAUGAAUAACAACUCUGCCAGAGUGCAGUGUAGAGAUGGAUGCAGUGAGACAGUGUUUCUGCUCAGUGGUCAUGACCAGUGGAUUCAUCUUUUCAAGGAGUGUGUUGUGGCUGGAUGUGCUGAGUAUUCCCGGCGGUCGUCGUCUCUCGGCGAGCUGUCAGAACAGCUGCGUGGGCCUGACUCUGGUGGACCAGACUGUACCUGGUCCUGUGGAAAAACAUAAUAAUCUACUUAAAGAAGACGAGUGCUGUUGCUCGUAGGAGAGUAUCAAGACUGGUAAGACCAGAGACAGAUGAGCUGGGGUAGUUGUUGACCUGGAUCAUUGAUAGCCAGCAAAUGGGGGACCGUUCUAAUCCUCACAAAUCAUGUUAAACACUACUUGUUGACCUGGAUCAUUGAUAGCCAGCAAAUGGGGGACUGUUCUAAUCCUCACAAAUCAUGUUAAACACUACUUGUUGACCUGGAUCAUUGAUAGCCAGCAACCCCUGGAAGGUGUCUCCCAUGAUGACCAUUUGGACAGUUCAGAUGGGGGACCGUUCCAAUCCUCAUUUGGUUGGACAAAUUUAUUCAUGUGCCAUCCCCGGACUGCAGGGAAUAUAUAAUGUUGUCAAUCAUCUCUUGCACUCCCAUAAUAAAAAGUAUGUGAUUUAACUCAACUUGAAGAAAUAAUGUUCUCUAAUACAGCAAUGUAAUCAUUUUCUAGAGGUAGAUGAUAGCUUGGAGGGAACUUGUCUUAACAGGAUGAACGUUGUGUCACAAACCAUGUCCUUUCGUUUCUUUUCAUCCUUAUCCAAUAUGCUUGAAAAUAUGAAGAGUGGUACUCAGUGAUGUGUUGUGUUGGAUUUGCCCCAAAUAACUAUUUGUAUUCAGGACAUAGUUAAUUUGUUUGCUAAUUUGUUUGCGGUUUUACUUUUGUCUCUUAUUGCAAACAGGAUUCAAAUUGAGGAAUAUUUGUAUUCUGUACAGGCUUCCUUCUUUUCACUCUGUUAUUUAGGUUAGUAUGGUGGAGUAACUACAAUGUUGUUGAUCCAUCCUCAGUUUCCUCCUAUCACAGCCAUUAA